ACGGACCCCAACAAGUGGCGCAGCGAGCAGGGUCAGCACGGAUGAUGGAUGCAGCCACAACAAGUGACACUUUGCACAGGACAACCGUGGGCCCCAGCAGAGGACCAGCAGCCCCGAUGCAUGGUGAGCAAUCCCCGUGCCUCGCUCAGUCCAACUAACAGUCAAAAGAACAGCAGAAGGGACCACACCAGCACGUGCUGAGUUGGAGAAACUAACGAGAUGCUCAAGAGGGUAGAUCAGGCAAGUUACUAGAUGUGUGGUCCAGAACGCAGAAAAGAGGUGAGGUUGGUCAUAUAGACUUGGGAAUUGUCAGAACAUAAAUACAAGCUAAGAUUGUGUAAGAUGCCUCCAAGAAAACCAAGAUGAGAGCUGGGCAGGACAGAGCAAGUCAACAAGGGAGCAGGCACUUACACAGGACACCAAGGAACAGCCAGCCAAGAUGUAAGGUGCUGUAGAACCAAGAAAAUAGAGUUUCCACAAGGAGGAACUGAGGAGCAAAUGACUCGGGGGGUCAGGACACUUGGGGACAGAUGUGUCCAUGCUAUUCUCUAACCCCAAGUCUAAGCUUAAGAGGAGAUCAGGAUUCAGGGAGGUUGUAUUUGGUUUCCAGCAACUCACCCACCACAAAUUUCAAAAUCUCUCUUCAUCUGGAACACAGAAAAUGAUUUGCAGUCCUCGGAUGGUUACAAGGGUACUGGUUUUUGCCAAGUCACAUUAUUUGACAGAAAUGGGCCGUGAAAUGCCUGCUAAUUGCUACAAGAUUUAACAGGGAGAGACUGAAAACAGGAGGCGGGGAAGUGCAUUGUCAGUCUUUCAUGUGGGGAGCUGGGGAGCUGGGGAUAACAAGACAUAAUGAGCCUUCUUCUCUGAGCUCCAAAUUACCAGGAUCAUUUUAUCCUGUUGAAAGAAGGAUGAAGCUUUUUAAAAUGGGCAAUUAUGACAUUUUUUCAUUGUUGUUGAGAAAGCUAAACCCCAAAGAUCCCAGCUAUUUUUGAGGGGUUUUCAAAAGGCACUCAUGCCAUUGUUGAGCUCAUCAUCUCCCCAGGCUCCAGGGAGAGGUUUAUUUGCCAUGAUAAUCCUGCUUGAUCCCCUCUCUCCAUACUUGACAAGUCUUUGCAGUGUUUCUUCUCACACGUUCUAGUACUGCCCUGGAAUCAGAUCAUGGGGCCCUUGAACCAACUGAAGGAAACUGUUACCAAAUAACCACUAAUGCCUCUGCUGAGCCUUGAAAGGUUACUGGAAGUGUCUGUAAUCUAACUUUGUGUCCCUUUGUUGUCUGAUCUUGGGGAAGUAUCCCUUAAAUCAUGUCACCUCCCCUACCAAUCUAACACCUUCACUAACUACCCCUGUCCAGCAAGUCUGGUCCAAAGGCUACUGCCUCUAGAAUUGAAUCCCCAACUCCUUGUCCAAUCUUACCUUUUCUCCCUGCAGUCAUUCAUUUGUGCAUUCAUUCACUCAUUUAACACACAGAGGAUGAGCAAGUCGUAUGUUCUGGACAUUCGAACAGGUGCUAAAGAAGUCUGCCAAGGAGGAGAGACAGUCAAGAAUGUAGGAGGUCAUAAUACAGUAUAAGAGGCUUUGUUGAGUUAAGAUGAAGGGCUUUGGGAUACAGAAAACUUGGCACCUGGACUAAGUGCUGAAGGAAGAGGACACAUGCAGAGACAUAUGUAGACAACAGAAGCUGUAGGACUUGAAGUCCUGGUGGGCUAUGGGGAGGAGUGUGAUGCUCAGAUUUCAAUCUCAGGCCGUUAGGUUCCAUUAGUACUCUGGUUUAAAUGUGUCCCCCAUAUUUCAUGUGUUAGAAACUCAGUCUCCAAAUUUAUAUGUUGAUUGGAGAUGGGGCCUUUCAGAGAUAAUUAGGAUUAGAUAAGGUCUUCGGGAUGGGGGUCCAUGAUGAGACUGGUGUAUUAAAAAAAAAAAAAAAACCAGGAAGAGAAACUUGAUCACAUAUGCAUGCUCUUGUCCUCUCUCCACAUGAUGCCUUCUGCCAUGUUAUGACACAUCAAGAAGGUCCUUACAAGAUGCAGCCUCAGGACCUUGGUCUUCUUAGCCUCCAGAAACAUGAGGCAAACAAAACUCUUCUUUUAUGAAAUGUCCAGUCUGUGAUAUUCUGUUACAGCAACAAAAAACCAGACUAAGACAAUACUAAGAGAGGAAUCAUGGAGAAGAAAUUUGUUUGGCAGGUGGGGAAAUGAGCUUCUUCAGGGACAUGCUGACCAACAGGAGCUUGUGGAGAGCCAGGAGCAGGUGCCCUGUGGGAGGUUGCUUAUGGGAAUCUGCAGCACAGGUGAAAGGUUCAGGCUGGAGAGAGAGACAAGGGAGUGGUUGGCUGAAAGGCGGACAUUGAAGCUUUGGGUAUGAACAAGACAUUGUGAGAAGAUGGGUCCCUGAUGAAGAGCCCUGGGGAACACCGUCAGUUAAGGGGUCAUAUGAAAAAGACAAGACUGUAGAGAGAAAAUAAACUCAUGUAUGGGGCCUGGGCACUGAAAAUUCAAACCUGUGCUUUCUUCAGUGGGGACAAUCAAAUAGCAGGACUGAGAAGGUUGUCAGUCUAUCAUGUGGGGAGCUGGAGAUAACAAGACAUAAUGAGCUGAGAAGGGUCAGCUUCAUAAAAGCAGGGAGGAGAUUUGAGAUGAAAAUGGCAAUGACUCUCAACAUGCUCCUUCCUCUUUACUGUGUAAUAAAGAAUUUGGCUGGCUUCUGUCACCAGUUCCUGAGAGGUGGCCUUUAAAUCUUUGGAAUUUCCCAAGUGAUAAGAGUGUCUUUGUUUUGUGGUGGAUCUCUUAGACCACACCUGAUAUGCUAAUGAGGUGACUUAGAAUGGAGACUGAGCAUGUCAGAAGAACCAGCCAUGUUAUUAGGGAACAGGAGCCUUCAGCCACGUGAUAUCAGCCCAACCUCUAGCCCAGCCUAAUAGAGGGCGCUUAGAGUUUGAGUCUCAUGGGCAAUGAUUCAAUCAAUCCUGCUUACGUAAUGAAGCUCCAAUAAAAUCUCUGGACAUUGCAGCUUGGGUGAGUUUCCUUGGCUGGUAAUACUCUGUGUAUUGUCACACAUUGAUAUGUUAAAGCGUCCUGACUCCACAGUGAGAAAAAACAGAAGCUUCAUGUUUGGGACCUCCCAGAACUCACCCGAUGUCUUCUUUCUCCUUAUGGCUGAUUCUGAUUUGUUUGCUUUAUAAUAAAACUGUAAUCACAAAGA